GAGCCCGGAGGAGCCCGAAGGAGCCCGGAGGAGCCCGAAGGAGCCCGGAGGAGCCCGAAGGAGCCCGGAGGAGCCCGAAGGAGCCCGGAGGAGCCCGAAGGAGCCCGAAGGAGCCCGAAAGACCGGGGCGGGCCGAGAACCGCGGGCACCAAUGGCCGGGCCCGCCCCGCCCCCUGGCCGGAGACUUGAGGGGAUUGGCUGCCCGCCUCCCGCUGCGCCGCCGACCUCGUCGCCGCGCCACCGCCGGGUUCUCUGUGCCGCACGCGAGUCGUCGGCUUCAUCCCGCGGAGCUGAGCCGUAAGUGUUGGUGGGCAUGGGGGAAGGUGCCAGGCCUCCGGGCCCGGGUGGGGCUGCGCUCGCCCCGCGUCCCCUCGAGCUUUGCCCGCCCGGAGCUCCGCUGCUCCCGGCGGCCAGGACGGAGGGGUAGAGCAGCCCUCGGCGGCCCGGGGGGCGGGCGGUCCAGCCCGUCCCGGGGCCGCGCGAGGCACAGACGCAGCGCGGAGCCGCCGGGAGGCUUCCCCGCGGGCAGGCCCGAGCGCCCUAACCAUCUUGCGCUUUGCUCCCCCAGGGCGCUGGCCCGCAAGAGGCGGCUGCUUGCGGCGUGUCUCGGGGCCCGGCCCCCGCCUGCGAAUGCAGGAGCCCGACCCGGGGCCUGCGGAGUCGGUCUCCGACGUGUGCGGGGCUGCAGCGGCCUGACUUCCAGGCUCAGGUUGAAAACUACGGGCACAAGCCAUGGAAGCUGGAGUACUCUAAUGCUGAUGGGGAGAGAUUCUCAAGCACUUUCCAUGCUUAGCUCGGAUCUCCACGCGGGGCUUGAUCCCACAGACCUGGGCCGAAAUCAAGAGUUGGAUGCUGAACCCACUGAGCCACCCGGGCAUCCCCACCUUGGAAUCCCUCUUAAUGCUUAUUUCAUAACACUGUUGAAGCCUUUGUAUCUAAAUUGCAUUUUUUAA
rnacentral:lncRNA from 1 species